CCUGACACUUGCAAUAAAAUGCCUCCUGAAUAUAUCUUCCUAAUAGCUACCCCAAUCCUGAGAGACUUUCAUAUGGGAAUGCAUUCCCAUAUGGAACACCCUAGCAUCAUCAUUUUUUGAGCACACUGUCUCUAGUUCCCCUGAACCUCAGUCUGCUUCAACCACUCAUUUCCAUGGCCACAGUGAGAUCCUUCUCAUUAACCAGAACUGCCUCACUACAAAAUGGUUUCUCCCAAUAAUAUCCUCACUUUUAUUAGUUAUAUAUAUGUGUGUAUAUAUAUAUUAGUAGCUAGAUUAUGAAAAAUCAACAGCCACACACUGCAUAAUAUAAUGGGAUAUAAAGUUUAUUAUUAGUUGUAAAGUUACAAAGAAAAUCACAUUAAUUAUACAGAUAAAACUAGCCAUAAAGUAUUUAAAAGAUUCUUAUUUGGGAUAGUAAUACUUUUAAAAUCUCAAGUUUUCUACACAAUCUCUAGCUAAGCAUAUGGCACAUAAAAGAAAAGAUCUUGUAAUGAUUUUCAUAGCACCUAUUUUAAAACACAUGGUCUUUUUAUAUAUUGAUCAGUCUUUAACCAAAAUAGAUAAAAAGGAAAACCAUAUCAUUCCAAUCCCGCCAAAAGCUAAAUAUAAUUGAUCUUUUUUCUUCAUAUUUCUUUCAGCCUUAUGCUGCAUUUGUUAGGAAGCAUAUAGAAUUAACUGAAUUUGAUGAGCAACUGAAGUGUUCUGAGAUGGCAAUGGGAUAAUAGAGAGCGAUGGGAAAGCCUGAAGAUGAAAGGAAGGUUCCAGGAACAAUGUCAAGAAGAUAGAAGCGGGUUCAAGAGGAAGUUUGUUUGCAGGGCAUGGCCAGUGGGAAGUUGGCUAUAAGAGUAAUGUUGGAAUCAAAGCAGAAAGCUCUAGGAGUGCAUAUCAAACCACCUCCAGUGUGAGUCAAGCCAGAGACCUAACUAAUCUAAUGCACUGAAAUGAAUUCUGAGGUAUUGAAUUUGCAUUAACUGUAAUUGACCCAUCCUGGAAAUUCUUCGCCCUUUACAAAAAGGUCUGGUUUUAUCCUUUUCCUCCAUGACCAAACCAAUUUCAAUGGGGGCAUGGUGACUCUCUCGAGGUUACUCUCGGGACUUCUGGUACAUUGCUGAAAUGUAAAUGGCUCCAGCUAUGCUUUCACACAUAGCUUCUGAAGAUCUGAUUAAUCUCUUUUAAACGGACAUGGAAUUGUAUUUGUCUACACCAGAUGAGAGAGGUCAUCACUUUUACAACCAUAUGGCUGGGCACUGCCUUAAAUCCUAACACCUUUUGUCACUACCGUUGUUUUGCACUUUAUCUGUUCUCUUUUGCCUUUUGAUUUCCACCUAAUUCCUCCAUAGUUUGGGAAAUAGGUUCAAAUUGAGGAUAGCUUAAAAUAAUUGAGGCUAUAAUGUUUGAUCUAGAAGGUGCAUUAGAAAAUAUUUAUGUAAGUUUUCUCAUUUUUGCAAAGGUCAAGAGGUUAGGUGGCUGCAUGGAUGGCAGGAGCAGUGGUAGAGAUUGGAGCAGAACUCAGCUGUCUUGGGUGAUCUUUGCACUUAAGAGGCCAUGUAUCUUCUUGGAUAUGAAUCAUACAAUUUCUGGACAUUUAGUAGGCCUUCAGAAGGAAAUGUUGGGUUAGUAGUUGUUCAACAUGGAAUUGCUAUGUAAGAUAUUUGAUCAGUAAGAAACUAGAUUCCUCUGUGAAACUGACAAAAAGUAGAAAGCAAUCUGAUUUAUAGGUCACCAUUUUCCCUUUGUUCCUUUGGACUUGAGAAUUGUGAAACACAGCCCAAGUAUGUAGAAAGAACCCAGGUAAAAAUGGGCUCUUUGCCCAUUUUAAAAUUUGCCCAUGCAAAUACACAAGCGAUAGAUUUGAUUUUGAUGGGAAAAUCUGGUCACAUUUCCCCUUUCAUCUUGGCUACCCUGCCACCGCAGAAAGCUCUGCCCUCAUGACUGCAGUGCAUUUGCUUAUGCAAAGUUGGUAUUAAAAAUCUGGUUCAUCAAAAGAGGAAAAAGAUGAUUGUCACAAGGGGAAGGCUUCUCAGAACUGAAGACAAGCUGCUCCUUUCCAACUGAAAAUGUCAAACAGUUAUUCAUACGGUUCUUACCAGACUUGAUUUAUGUGAGCAACUGCCAAUCCUUAACCUCCCCCUCAUGCAAGUGCAAAUGGAAAGCCUGUUCGUUCAGCCAUUAAUAUCGUGUUAGUUUUGUUUGAUAUCCUGAAUAGAAAAUCAUUUCUUCCCUCUAUGUAGGAGUUAUUGAUUUACCCUGAUGUUCACUUUAAAAUCUCUUAGUUUCUAAAUAUGCUUGUUGUUUACCUGCAGUGUUGUAAAAAAUAUGAUUAUUUUCUUUAUGGUUUUCUAGAAGUUUGGCUUUAAAAAAUAAACAUUGCAUGCAAACUGACUUGUAAUUUGAAUUCAUAUUUUCCAAGCCCAGUGAAAAUUACACUCCUUAUGGAAAGAGAAAAAAAA
rnacentral:lncRNA from 1 species